rnacentral:rRNA from 1 species
GACUACAUGAAGCUGGAAUCGCUAGUAAUCGCGGAUCAGAAUGCCGCGGUGAAUACGUUCCCGGGUCUUGUACACACCGCCCGUCACACCAUGGGAGUCGGAAAUGCCCGAAGUCUGUGACCCAACCUACGGGAGGGAGCAGCCGAAGGCAGGUCGGAUGACUGGGGUGAAGUCGUAACAAGGUAAC